rnacentral:rRNA from 1 species
GCAAGUCGUACGAGAACGUCUUAGCUUGCUAAGACUAGUAAAGUGGCGCACGGGUGAGUAACGCGUGGGUAAUCUACCUUCGAAUUGGGGAUAACGUUGCGAAAGCGACGCUAAUACCGAAUAACAUCCAUUUUUCUUCGGAAUUGUGGAUCAAAGAUGGCCUCUACAUGUAAGCUAUUGUUUGGAGAUGAGCCCGCGUACCAUUAGCUUGUUGGUGGGGUAACGGCCUACCAAGGCAACGAUGGUUAGCUGGUCUGAGAGGAUGAUC